AGUAAAAGUCGUAACAAGGUUUCCGUAGGUGAACCUGCGGAAGGAUCAUUACCUAGAGUUGUAGGCUUUGCCUGCUAUCUCUUACCCAUGUCUUUUGAGUACUUACGUUUCCUCGGCGGGUCCGCCCGCCGAUUGGACAAUUUAAACCAUUUGCAGUUGCAAUCAGCGUCUGAAAAACUUUAAUAGUUACAACUUUCAACAACGGAUCUCUUGGUUCUGGCAUCGAUGAAGAACGCAGCGAAAUGCGAUAAGUAGUGUGAAUUGCAGAAUUCAGUGAAUCAUCGAAUCUUUGAACGCACAUUGCGCCCCUUGGUAUUCCAUGGGGCAUGCCUGUUCGAGCGUCAUUUGUACCUUCAAGCUUUGCUUGGUGUUGGGUGUUUGUCUCGCCUUUGCGUGUAGACUCGCCUUAAAACAAUUGGCAGCCGGCGUAUUGAUUUCGGAGCGCAGUACAUCUCGCGCUUUGCACUCAUAACGACGACGUCCAAAAGUACAUUUUUACACUCUUGACCUCGGAUCAGGUAGGGAUACCCGCUGAACUUAAGCAUAUCAAUAAGCGGAGGAAAAGAAACCAACAGGGAUUGCCCCAGUAACG
rnacentral:rRNA from 1 species